GCUACUUGUUGGACAAUAAGGUUAUAGUUCCAAUCUUCAAACUGUAAUUAUCUUUCAAAAUCCUUCUAAAAUAAUUAUGGUGAAUAUCAGUACUACAAGGAUGCAUGAUCCAAUAUAUAUUAAUUUAUAGAUGAAUGCUAUGGAUAUAUGCGGGCUAAGUAACUUGCAGAUCCUUGAUUAUCGAGUUUGUUCCAGUACUCUUCCACUUCUACAAGUAGCAGCUAAAAGUGUCUGAAUGCAAGUAUCUAUGACGGUCAAGAUUCAGUACCAAUGCAUAUACUCAUAGUAAUGUUUAUUCCACGAAUCGUUUUUCAAUACGUACCCAAUUAUUUUCAGUAUUUUAAUCUUGUAUUCUUUUUGCGUUUUCUUAAUUUGUAUGAUAUGAAGUUGAAGAUUGAUUACAGAUAUAUGUAAUUAUAAUUUUGUUACCUCCAAAUAUAUAUACACGUGCUUAAUUUCCA